UAUCCUUUCGGUUUAUCGGAUUUUUAGAAAGUAUCAUCUGCGGAAACAGAAAUGUCGAACAGCAGUAGGACGAAAAGAAUACUGGAUCGCGAUAAGUUCAGCGAUCAGUUUGUCACUGCAAUUCGCGUCUUACGUUGCCUUAUGAUUUAUAUGGGAAUUUGGCCAGACAAAAAACAUGAAAAAUUGUACUAUUUAUUGCGGUGCUUCCAUUCGGUAGGUUUAGUAUUUCUACUUUCGGGUGAAGUGUGUUGGCUCACCAAUGUUGAGGAUGAUAUGGAUGAAUUCUUUGCUACCUUAGGCGUGGCAUGUGCGUUAUUUUACGUUCUCGGAAAGUGGCUUACAUUUUCUUGGCAAAAAGUACUAAUCAGAAAACUGACGAAAUUUAUGGAUGAAGAUUGGAUCAACUUGGAAAACAACGCUUUGAUUCCUAAAAGCGUACCAGAUUCGAAACGAAUAAUGAUGAAACAUUACCGAACAUUAAAUAUUUACGUCUGCACCAUCGUACUUGUGUAUAUAUUUACAGCCGGGGAGUUCGUCAUUGAUUUUUUCGUAGCCACAAACCAUCGUGACAAUGAUACAAAUUUGGGUAACCUCUUACCAUUGACUCACAGCUGGUAUCCUCUCGAUUACGACCAAGGUUAUACCGUUCAGCUGCUGGCCGCUGCUCAAAUGAUAAGUAUGGUAUCAGCAUUGGUCGGAAGCACUGUAGUCGACGGUUUCUUCGUUAUUACGGUUCUGCACACUGCCGGUCAACUGGAGAUUCUGGGAGAUUUUAUUGAACGAACCAAGUAUGAUCCAAUGGACUACGAAUGUGACAAGACGAAAGUCAAAGAGAUGGCGAAGCGUCACCAGGUGUUGUUAAGCGUGGCAGACGACAUACAAGAAUGUUUCAGUGCAACUAUCUUGCAGUGCGUGACUGUCUCGUUAAUCGGUACUUGUUUCCACGCGCACGCAUUUCUCAGGGAAUUAGAAAGAGGUGGAGAUAAUCAACUGAUUGCGCUAAAGUACGGAUUUUCCUGUCUGGUAGGGCUGAUGAAUAUUUUCAUCUACAGUUUUGUUGGCGACAGUUUGACUAGUCAACCGAUUUGGUUGCCGUCAUGAAUCAUCGCGGCAAUGAUACAGAUCAGAGUCGUACUUCGAUUCUUCCCUACAGCUGGUAUCAUCACAAUCGCGACCGCGGUUACACUAAUCAGUCGUACCGAAGGUCACCUUAGUAAAGUACCUCAACAUUGAAUGCCAGCCACCACUACUUUCCGAGCAAGUUAUCGGCGAGAGAAGUGAUACUAAUGGAAUCAUCCGAUCCCUAUCUAAACAGCCGCAGGUCGUAAACUAUACAGACCAAAGUUUAUUACAACGAUGCCGAUAUAAUAUUCGUCAGAUGUUUAACACAACUUCGUUAUAACAGAACCGAACUUUUAUACCCAUACUGAAAAAUGUUAGGUUGUACAGUGAGACAAUACACUCCCGAUGGUAUAA
rnacentral:misc_RNA from 1 species